GAUUAAAGUUAGGCCAUGUCUCUGGUUCUUAGUGUAGUAAUUGGGUGCUGCCAUAUUAUUUACCACAGUUGCAACAUGAUAUUUUCUAUGAAAUAAUAAAGCAUAAACUGCCUAAUAAACAGAUAGUAAUGUUUUUUUGGAUAUUUCAAAUUCCACAUAUAAUUAUUUUCACAUAUAAAACACAAAUUAAUGUCUAAACCAGGGGCAUAGGUAGACGGAACUAAGCGCAAAUAUCCAGACCAUGCUCAACUAGGAAUAUUUAUUUUUCCAUGUACAGCAGCUAUAUGACCUACUUUUAAGGACAUCUGAGAUUAUGUAAAUUAUGUUAACCAUGUCACACCAUCACCAUCCCCAACUUACGUAUGAUUUGAAAAGAAAGCGAAAUGAAAAUAAAGCUAUUCAAAAGGUUACAACAACCACACCUGAAACUAUGCAGUAGGAUGCUAUGUUAUUAAUGCUAAGCAGGAAAUCACCAGCAAAAGUGAAACCAGCUUUACAAAAGACCUUCACACAAAUAGAGUCAGUUUGGAUCAGUGGUACUUGUGAACAUGGAGCUAUUUGAGACAAUUAAAAAUGCCAAGGAUGUCCUCAAUGUAGUUAAAGGGCAAAGCUCCAAAGAUUUUGAUGAAAAAGUCUUCAAUAAUGUGGACAGUCUUGUUCCUGGAGAUCUCCUGCUACGAAAAAUGAAAGAUUGCUGGAAGUAUCACCAUGUAGGAAUUUACUGUGGGAACAAUGAAGUUAUUCAUUUUUCAGCUCCCCAAGGUAAGGAAAUUCUGGGUUCUAUGCGGAUCUCCCAAUCACCACUUCCAGAUGAAGAUGGAGAAAUUCACAAAAUAACUGUGAAAAAAUUUAAUACUGGACAAGAUCUCAAAGUGUUUCGUCUCAAGGAAAAUGUUCCAAGAAACCUUCAUGUUAACAUUAUGAAUGCCAUGGAAAUGUGUAUUCCAUACCAUCUCCUCAGUUUCAACUGUGUGCACUUUGCACUGUGCAUUUUGGAGAAAAUAAAAUGGCCUGCUCAAAGUAGAUCUGAAGAUGGGGCUACACCAGAAGAAAAUCAAGCUCUAAACCCUGCAGUUAAGGAUUCAGAAGAACGGGGUGGCGCAUAGAAUGACAUCCAUAAAAUGGAUUUUUACGUAAACUGGGGUAUUUUUAUGUAAAAAAAAAAAAGAAUAAAAAUCUAACAAAUCCCCA
rnacentral:lncRNA from 1 species